rnacentral:lncRNA from 1 species
UGGUCAGAGAAGAUCCUUGAAAUAAUUUCUAUCCCUUUAAAUUUGUUGAGGUUUGUUUCAUGUAUUAAUAUGUAACCUAUUCUAGAGAAUGUUUCAUGUGCAUUGAAAAGAAUAUAUAUUCUGAUUUUGUUUUGUUUGGGUUUUUUUUGGAUGUUAUGUCCUGAAAAUAUCUAUGAAGUCUAACUCUUCUUUGUGUCAUUAUGAUCUCUGUUGCUUUAUUGAUUUUUCUGUCUGGAAAAUCUGUCCAUUGAUGUCAAUAGGGUGAUAAAGUCUCCUACAAUUAUUGCAUUCUCAUCAAUUUUUCCCUUUAUGUAUGUUACUUUUUGUUUUAUGUAUUUAGGUGCUCCUAUAUUGGGUACAUAUACAUUAACAAGUGUAAUAUCCUCCUCUUAUAUUAACCCUUCUAUCAUUAUACAGUGUCCUCCUUUUCCAUUAUGGCCUUUGUUUUAAAGUCUAUUUUGUCUGACAUGAGUAUGCUAUCCCAGCUUUCUUGUCAUUUCCAUUUGCAUGAAAUGCAAAGUAAAUCUCUGGCCUAGAUGAUACUCAUACAAAUUAAACUUUGUUAAGGCCAGUGAAUAAAGCAGAACAAUGUUAUUAAUUUAUCACUAGAGGUAUCCAGUAACCACAGAAUGCCCAACCCAGGAAGUCAAGUUAAUAGGAAGUGACUCAGAAAGUGGGUAAGUGCACCAGAUCGAAAUAGAAAAAGCAGUAUGUAGACACUGGAGAGAGAUGGUGGUUAUAUCACCACAACUCUGAAAAAUUCCAGUAAGAUAUUCAUUUGUCACAGAGUAUACUUUGCUAGCAACUUGAUAGGGAAGCACAGAGUAUCUAGAUUGUGUUAUCUGGACAGUGCUAGACUUAACCCUUUAACACAUUUUGCUUUACUGAACCCUUUAAUACAUUUUGCUUUACUGAAGCCACCACACCUACCUUUUCAACCUUUUCUGACUACUCUAAUUCUCUUUUCCCUUAUCAGAUGUCAACAGCAAAUCCUUACUCACCUGGAUUUGUAGGGUUGCUGCCUCCUCUCUACUAUAAGCUAAGCAAGUUACACAAUGCUUAAAGCUCCAAAUAGACAUCAUUAUUGCAUAACUUCUGUGGCAUGUAUCACAUUCCUUUGUGUGGCUGAAAAACAAAUCACAGGAUAUACUACAUUUGUUUGUCCACUAUCAGUUGAUGAAUAUUUUGUUAUUCUCACUUUUUGGCCAUUAUGAAUAAUCCUGCUAUAAACACUUGUAUACAAGUUAUUGAUAUUAUGCCUAACAGUAGGUAGUUACUGUAAGCUACCUUUAAAAAAAUUAUUGGAGUUCCCAUCGUGGCUCAGUGGUUAAUGAAUCUGACUAGGAACCAUGAGGUUGUGCAUUUGAUCCCUGGCCUUUCUGAGUGGGUUAAGGAUCCGGCAUUGCUGUGAGCUGUGGUGUAGGUUGCAGACAUGGCUCAGAUCCCACGUUGUUGUGGCUCUGGCAUAGGCCAGCAGCUACAGCUCCGAUUAGACCCCUAGACUGGGAACCUCCUUAUGCCAUGGGAGUGGCCCAAGAAAUGGCAAAAAGACAAAAAAAUAAAAUAAAAUAAUUAAAAAAAUAUUAUUGAGCAAGUUCAUUUGCAAUGUUGUUAAUUACUGCUGUAUUGCAAAGUGAUUCAGUUAUACAAAUAUAUAUUCUUUUUCAUUAUGGUUUAUUAGAGGAUACUGAAUGUAGUUCCUUAUGCUAUACAGUAGAACCUUAUUGUUUAACCAUUCUAUAUGUAACAGUUUUCAUCUGCUAAUCUCUAACACCCAAUCCUUCCCUUCCCGCAUAUCCCUUCCCUCUUGGCAACCACAAGUCUGUUGUCUAUGUCUGUAAGUCUGUUUCUGUUUUGUAGAUAGAUUAAUUUGUGUCAUAUUUUAGAUUCCACAUGUAAGUGAUAUCAUAGGUAUAUGUUUUUCUCUGACUUCAUUGAGUAUGAUAAUCUCUAGGUUCAUCCAUGUUGUGCAAAUGGCAUUAUUUCAUUCUUUCUUAUGGUUUAGUAAUACUCUAGUGUGUGUGUGUGUGUAUAUUUAUAUAUACACCACAUCUUAUUUAUCCAUUCCUCUGUCAAUAGACAUUUAGGUUAUUUCCAUGUCUUAGCUAUUGUAAAUAGUGCUGCUAUGAACACAGGGGGAUGCACAUACCUUUUCAAAUUAUAAUUUUAUCUGGAUAUAUGCCCAGGAGUGGGAUUGCUGGAUCAUAUGGCAACUCUAUCUUCAGUUUUUUGAAAAACCUCCAAAUAGUUUUCCAUAGUGGCUGCAUCAAUUUACAUUCCCAUCAACAGUUUAAGGAGGGUUCCCCUAGCUCCAUGUCCCUUCCAGGAUUUGUUAUUUAUAGACUUUUAAACGAUGGCCAUUCUCACUGGUGUGAAGUGGUACCUCACUGUAGUUUUUUCUUUGCACUUCUCCCAUAUUUAGUGAUGAACAUCGUUUCAUGUGGCUAUUGGCCAUCUGGAUGUCUUCUAUGGAGAAAUGUGCAUUUAGGUCUUCUGCCAGUUUUUCAAUCGGUUUAUUUUGUUGUUGUUGAUGAUGCCUUGCAUGAGUUACAUGUAUAGUUUGGAAAUUAAUCCCUAAUCAGUCUCAUCAUUUGAAAAUAUUUUCUCCCAGUCUGUAGGUUGUCUUUUCAUUUUGUUUAUGGUUUCCUUUGCUGUAUAUAAACUUGUAAGUUUAAGUCCUCUUUGUUUAUUUUUGCUUUUAUGUCUAUUGUUUGGGCUACCUUUUUUAUUCUAUUUAAAGGAGGAAAUGUUCUUUGCCACCCUCAAUGUUUUCUGUAGUACUCAUACCUUCUCAAAAGCACUGGCACUGGACUGUUAUAACACAACAGCCCCUCAGUUUCAUCCCAAGAGACAGCAUGCCCUCCCAAUCAAAUUAUCUUAUAUUUUUCUAGAGUCAGAGUUACCUACUUAUACUAUGGGACUUUCAAAUCCUUCAGCAAAUUGAGAAGUUACUCUGCUUGCAUUUGAUCUCUUUUACAAAGAUGCAAGUUAAAUUACUAAAAUUUUCUGUUUUCCCUCAGACUUGCCUUACUAAUGUUCCCUUCCUUUCUGUUACAUGCAAGGCAUCCUUUGGGGCUCCUCUUCCUAAUGCAGAGUUGGAUGUAGAGUGACAAUAAACUUUGUGCCCUCACCACUACUUGUACCUCCUGGAUUCUAGUUUUAAUCUUGCUAUUGUCAUUCUUUCAAAUUUGGUGUUUUAGCAUCCUAAAUAGUUCUACCAAGUGAUCUGAUUUGAAAACUUUCCAGUUAGCCCUCCAGCUCUCAUUAGAGCUCUUGUCUCAGCCAAAAAGAGCCACAUCUCUUGUCUGGUCCUUCCUAUAGACCUGUUUGAUUUAGUUCCUUGGCCUCUUUUCAAAUAAUAACCAACUUUUGACAUUUUGAGCAGAAAAUUCCAUCAUAGUGAUUGUGUGUUACUCUAAAUUGCUUUACUAGCUCCUCACUAUGGAGAAACUACAUUUAAUCAGGAUGAGUGGGACAUUUAUGGACAGUACAGGGAAGAAACUUAUCUUCACACUCUUCUAAAGUAUAAUUUCACCUUCCAGAGGACAGUUGAACAAAUGGUUGGACGUUUCAAAUAUACACAUACACACAUAUGUAUAUACAUACAGUCAGCUAAUAGUCAAUAACCAACCCAAAUCACAGUCUUUUCUCUUGGUUUGAUAUUAAUUAUGCUCAAGCCAUCUUUUCUUGACACCUCCAUGAGGUUCAGAAAUCUCCUUUCCAUAUGAUCAUAAGCUUUCAAAAACUCUUCCCAUCACAUUCUAAUUUUGGAGAGAUACAAAAUGCAAUCUAUAUAAAACUCCAAGGAAAUAAGAAGUACUUCUUUUUAUAAUUUUUUUUGUCUAGAAUUAGAAAAAUGUUACAUACGCAGGAACAUUUUAAAAGAACAAGCUAGUAAGCAGUGAAAUCAGAGGAUCUUUAAAAUCAGGAUGGAUACAUCUACUGUGUUGCAAAUAACUUGGAGGCUAUCUUGUCUAAAGGGCAAGGAGGUGAUCUAUACCAUGUCUCCCAUCUUCCCUCAUGAUGACAUUCAAUCACCUCAAACUACUGCUCUGGAGACCAGCCUCAAGUUCUCUCUUGAUGAAAAGUGGAUUGAACACACCUUUAUAAUUAGCUACUCUUUUUCGUUCUGUGCCCAAUUCUGGGAGGUGGGAGUGGACCUUGGGAAUCAAGUCCACACAGACGCAGACUUCUGGAGUGCCAAACAGUAGUGAGAAAUCUUUCUCAGCUAUCUGCACUACUCUGGGUGGUGAAAGACAGUCUUUUUCAACCUCACCACUGGCAUUCUCAUUCAUUCCUUAUGGAGAAGACCAUCAGUCAACAGGAGACAGAACAGGAAGCUGCUGGAAUAAGCAUAUGUAUCCAUAUUUCCCCUUUGAAUGGUCUGCCACCUCACUAAAGAACAUUUUCUCCAGCUGCUGCUAGCAGACACUAAUACCUAAACCACAAAUCAUCACAUUCCCCACCCUUUGAGCCAGGGCUUGUCCUUGAACUUCCCACAUAGUGAGAUAUUAACCAAACUGGCCACUGAUACAAUAUCUCUUUGCAAAAUCAUUAAAAAACAAAAAACAAAACAAACAAAAAAAAAAACACCGCACCAUCUAAUUGAUGGACUGAAAAUGUGGACCUCCUAACAUAAAAAACAUUCACUGUAGGGGAACCUCAGAGAGUAAUGCAGGAUAUUACAAACAUCUCACAAGGACCAAAUCCUGGCUAGCUCACUAAGAAGAAUAUUUUUAUCAGUGUAAACAUGCCAGACAUAACUGUAUCAAAAAUUAGAGCAAGAAAUUCCACGUCUCAGAAAUGGAGCCAUCUUGCAAAAACAGAACUGAAAGCAGGUUGCUUCAGAUUUUUCAACAACCACCAGGAGAACUGCCUUUCCCUGAAUAAGGCAACCAUGUUGCUCUCCAGUUUCUUCAGGGACCAGUGUGGGCUUUAAAAAAAUGGUUCUUGAACUUUCUCUACCAAGGCACAUUAAAGCCAUUUAUACCAAUACUGUAACUUAGCAAGAUGACUGACAGGAGCAUACUCACACUGAAAAGGUGGUGUCAAGUGAUCCAGCCUGAAUCUUAAAGGGAACGACCCUUCAGUAGACUGCUCUCCUGAAACCACCUUCUGGGCUGCAAAAUACUUGGGCUUGAGCACAUAUUCCUGGGUCUGGCCAUGAUGAAUCAUCACAUUCUGUAAGGAAAUGGGUUUCACUCUGAGAAGAAGCAAAGUAAGGAUAAGGAAAUUAAUAAUGGACUUUUGAAAGUCAAUGAAGACAGAAGAAAUCAGUUAAACUUAGGGGCAUAAUAAUUCCAAGCAAGGCUAAUUUGUUUUUCCUUAAACACUGUAGUCAUACAUGAAAAGAACUCACAGCUUAUCCUUGGAAAGCUCCAACAUAAUGAGGGCUUUGGUAUCUAGUCAAGAAGCACAAGGACAUAUAGGCCAUCACAGAUGGAAGCUAUGAAAGCAUUUUUUUUUGUCUUUUGUCUUUUUAGGGCUGCACCCACAGCAUAUGAAAGUUCCCAGGCUAGGGGCCAAAUCAGAGCUGUAUUUGCCAGCCUACACCACAGAUACAGCAAUGCAGGAUCUGAGCCAAGUCUGCAACCUACACCACAGGCCAUGGCAACACCAGAUCCUUAGCCCACUGAGAAAGGCCAGGGAUAGAACCUGUGUCCUCACAAUGCUAGUCAGAUUCAUUUCUGCUGAGCCACAAUGGGAACUCCUAUCAAACCACUUAAAGCAGAGCUACCAUAAACCUUCAUUAAACAGGUGAGGACAUAAACAGGAUGUAUAUCAAAAAGGUACUGAACCUUUUUGAGCUUCACAUUCCUAAUCGAUACCAUGGAAUUUCUGCCACACAGUGCUAAGAAAAAAAUUAUUGUAAAAAUAAAAACAAAAAAAAACCUGAAAAGAAAUUAUAAUGUUUUGAAUUAUAAAUUAUGAAGAUGGGAAAAAAACAGUCAUGACCUACUCUAGUGAAUACGUAAUAUUUUAUGCUAUAUCUCAUCAUGAUUAAAACUGUACUAUUCAGGUUAAGUGCUUCAUAAUUACUAAUUCCCAAGAAUAAAAAUUUAUGACAGUCUCAAAAUUUUGUCAAUGACAUGAAUCAAGACCUCUUAGGACUCCUGAACAUAAUUACUUUUUUUUUCACUCUUCUGGUUGAAUCCUCUCCUCUUCAUGACAUUUUCUACUGCUCCAUGUACCGUAUACUUUUCAAUAAGCCUUCUCCUAGAUUUAAUCACUUUCUUAGGGACAGAACUGACAUCAUUAACUAAGGUAGACAAAUAAUGAAGACUAUAAAAAAGAUGUACCAACUAAUUAUGGAAGAUGCAAACUUGCUCUUAAAAUUGUUGGGACAGGGCAUUUUCACAGCGAAGAGAGUCUUUGGAAGAAAACUUGCUCUUUGGUGUAAUCUUGAAUUUUAUUGACCAUAACAUGUUAAAGCUGUUAAAACUAUAAAAAAAAAGCAUUUCCAAAUG